rnacentral:sRNA from 1 species
AGAAGCUUUUUUUCCCUGCCCUCUAGGCACAGUAGCUUUGGCACUAACUGCAAAAGGAUCUGCCAUGAUUCCAGGUUACACAAUGCGAGUGGGCCUCUCACUGACUGUGGUCCGUAGCCUGAGGGCUCUGUGAGUCACCACAUCGUCGCUGUCAUUUCAGGUGAACCACUGUCUACCAGAGAAGAUUGUGGUGUACCGUGAUGGAGUGUCUGAUGGCCAACUGAAGACAGUUGCCAACUAUGAGAUUCCUCAACUACAGAAGUGUUUUGAAGCUUUUGAGAAUUAUCAGCCCAAGAUGGUGGUGUUUGUAGUUCAGAAGAAAAUCAGUACUAAUCUAUAUCUGGCUGCUCCUCAGAACUUUGUAACUCCCACUCCUGGAACUGUGGUAGAUCAUACAAUAACAAGCUGUGAGUGGGUGGAUUUCUAUCUUCUUGCCCAUCAUGUACGGCAGGGCUGUGGCAUUCCUACGCAUUAUGUCUGUGUUCUCAACACCGCAAACCUGAGCCCUGAUCAUAUGCAGAGGCUGACUUUCAAACUGUGCCACAUGUACUGGAAUUGGCCUGGCACCAUCAGAGUUCCAGCUCCUUGCAAGUAUGCCCACAAGCUAGCUUUCCUGUCAGGACACAUCUUGCAUCAUGAACCAGCCAUCCAGCUGUGCGAGAACCUGUUCUUCCUGUGACUGCACAGCUUGGAGAUGGGCUGGUGAGAAGAAAGGCGGCCUCUGAACUCAGCUGUGACUCUUGCAGAAUCAACAGAGACUGAAGUGGGCUUUUGUGUUAUAAUUUUCCCUUUCUCCAACCCUGUAGAAUAAGAUUUCUUUCUUGUCUUUUAAACCUAAUAUCACCAAGAAGCAAGUUUCUGAGUAACAGCUGAAAAUGGCCUUGUUGCCUGUGUAGAGCAAGUUACGGUGGUACUGCCACUCUGCAGGUGGAGCGGGUGACUCUGGGGGACCAUUAAGACCUCCAGACCGGGUGCGGUGGUUCACGCCUGUAAUCCAAGCACUUUGGGAGGCCGAGGCGGGUGGAUCAUGAGGUCAGGAGAUCAAGACCAUCCUGGCCAACAUGGUGAAACCCCGUCUCUACUAAAAUACAAAAAAAUUCGCCGGGUGUGGCGGUGCACGCCUGUAGUCCCAGCUACUCAGGAGGCUAAGGCAGGAGAAUCACUUGAACCCGGGAGGUGGAGGUUGCAGUGAGCCGAGAUCACGCCACUGCACUCCAGCCUGUUGACAAAGCAAGACUCUGUCUCAAAAAAAAAAAAAAAAA